rnacentral:sRNA from 1 species
UCAGAGAGCGAUAAUCGCCGCAAGGCCUC